rnacentral:rRNA from 1 species
UGGGGAAUAUUGGACAAUGGGCGAAAGCCUGAUCCAGCCAUGCCGCGUGUGUGAAGAAGGUCUUCGGAUUGUAAAGCACUUUAAGUUGGGAGGAAGGGCAGUAAGCGAAUACCUUGCUGUUUUGACGUUACCGACAGAAUAAGCACCGGCUAACUCUGUGCCAGCAGCCGCGGUAAUACAGAGGGUGCAAGCGUUAAUCGGAAUUACUGGGCGUAAAGCGCGCGUAGGUGGUUCGUUAAGUUGAAUGUGAAAGCCCCGGGCUCAACCUGGGACCUGAAUCCAAAACUGGCGGGCUAGAGUGGGCAGAGGGUGGUGGAAUUUCCUGUGUAGCGGUGAAAUGCGUAGAUAUAGGAAGGAACACCAGUGGCGAAGGCGACCACCUGGGCUCAUACUGACACUGAGGUGCGAAAGCGUGGGGAGCAAACAGG